rnacentral:rRNA from 1 species
AGUGAACGCUGGCGGUAGGCCUAACACAUGCAAGUCGAACGGCAGCACAGUAAGAGCUUGCUCUUACGGGUGGCGAGUGGCGGACGGGUGAGGAAUACAUCGGAAUCUACUUUUUCGUGGGGGAUAACGUAGGGAAACUUACGCUAAUACCGCAUCCGACCUACGGUUGAAAGCAGGGGAUCUUCGGACCUUGCGCGAUUGAAUGCGCCGAUGUCGGAUUAGCUAGUUGGCGGGGUAAAGGCCCACCAAGGCGACGAUCCGUAGCUGGUCUGAGAGGAUGAUCAGCCACACUGGAACUGAGACACGGUCCAGACUCCUACGGGAGGCAGCAGUGGGGAAUAUUGGACAAUGGGCGCAAGCCUGAUCCAGCCAUACCGAGUGGGUGAAGAAGGCCUUCGGGUUGUAAAGCCCUUUUGUUGGGAAAGAAAAGCAGCAGGUUAAUACCCCGCUGUUCUGACGGUACCCAAAGAAUAAGCACCGGCUAACUUCGUG